GGGGCCGCUGCGGGCAGGGCGGACAAAAGGCGCCGGAGCGGCGUGAGGGAGGGUGGGCGCCGUAGGCAGGGAAACUGUUCCCAUGGCUUGUGGGGAGUGCAGCGCUUCAGCACUCGCUCGGGAUCUGGCACGUAGGAAUAUCAGCCACUUCCAGCACAGAGAACUGACGUGCAGAUAGCAGAACCCUGCUGCAAGGUGAAUCAUGAUUCCAGUCACCGAGCUGCGCUACUUCGCUGAUACUCAGCCAGCCUAUCGCAUCCUGAAGCCGUGGUGGGACGUCUUCACAGACUACAUUUCCAUAGUGAUGCUGAUGAUCGCCGUGUUCGGAGGGACGCUGCAGGUCACCCAGGACAAAAUGAUUUGUUUGCCCUGUAAAUGGGUUACCAAAGACUCUUGCAAUGACUCUGUCAGGGGAUGGACAACAGCAGCCCCCGAGCGUACCUACUACAACACUAGUCUUGUUCCCUCUGCUGAUUCGGGGCCUACAGGGAUCCGAUAUGAUCUGGACCGGCACCAGUACAACUAUGUGGAUGCGGUGUGUUACGAGAACCGUCUUCACUGGUUUGCCAAGUAUUUUCCUUAUCUAGUGCUGCUACAUACCCUCAUCUUUCUAGCUUGUAGCAACUUCUGGUUCAAGUUCCCAAGGACCAGCUCCAAGCUGGAGCAUUUUGUGUCUAUUUUGCUUAAGUGUUUUGACUCUCCAUGGACAACGAGAGCAUUGUCUGAGACAGUGGUGGAAGAGAGUGAUACCAAACCAGCAUUUGGAAAAAUGAAUGGCUCCAUGGACAAGAAAUCCUCCACGGUCAGUGAGGAUGUGGAAGCCACUGUUCCCAUGCUGCAGAGAACAAAGUCUCGAAUUGAGCAAGGGAUUGUGGACAGGUCUGAGACUGGUGUCUUGGACAAAAAGGAAGGUGAGCAAGCCAAAGCACUCUUUGAGAAAGUGAAAAAGUUCCGUACUCAUGUGGAAGAGGGAGACAUAGUUUAUCGCCUGUACAUGAGACAGACUAUAAUCAAAGUAAUCAAGUUCAUUCUGAUAAUUUGCUAUACUGUGUACUAUGUCAACAACAUAACAUUUGAUGUAGACUGUAAAGUGGACAUUGAGAGCUUGACUGGCUACAGGAUGUACCGCUGUGCUCAUCCUUUGGCCACUCUCUUCAAAAUCUUGGCUUCUUUCUACAUCAGUCUGGUGAUUUUCUAUGGUUUGAUCUGCAUGUACACACUGUGGUGGAUGUUGAGGCGGUCUCUCAAGAAAUACUCCUUUGAGUCCAUCCGGGAGGAGAGCAGUUACAGUGACAUCCCUGAUGUGAAAAAUGACUUUGCUUUUAUGCUCCAUCUGAUCGAUCAGUACGACCCCCUCUACUCCAAGCGCUUUGCUGUCUUUCUGUCAGAGGUGAGUGAGAACAAAUUGCGGCAGCUGAACCUCAACAAUGAGUGGACUUUGGAGAAACUACGCCAGAGGAUCACCAAAAACUCUCAGGAUAAGCUGGAAUUGCAUCUUUUCAUGUUGAGUGGCAUUCCUGACACAGUCUUUGACCUCAUUGAGUUGGAGGUCUUGAAGCUGGAGCUUAUCCCUGAUGUCACUAUUCCCCCCAGCAUUGCUCAGCUCACCAGCCUUAAGGAACUGUGGCUCUACCACACAGCUGCCAAAAUUGAGGCCCCAGCCCUUGCCUUCUUGAGGGAGAAUUUGAAAUCUCUCCACAUCAAGUUCACAGACAUUAAGGAGAUUCCUCUUUGGAUUUAUAGCCUGAAGACACUAGAGGAGCUUCACCUGACAGGGAAUUUGAGCGCUGAAAACAACCGGUACAUUGUGAUAGAUGGACUGAGAGAGCUGAAAAGGUUGAAGGUGUUGAGGAUGAAGAGUAACCUCACCAAGCUGCCGCAGGUGGUGACAGAUGUUGGUGUGCAUCUUCAGAAGCUUUCCAUCAACAAUGAGGGCACCAAGCUCAUUGUCCUCAACAGCCUUAAGAAGAUGGUCAACCUGACAGAGCUUGAGCUGAUCCGGUGUGACUUGGAACGCAUUCCUCACUCUAUCUUUAGCCUCCACAAUCUGCAGGAAAUAGACCUGAAGGACAACAACCUAAAGACCAUUGAGGAAAUCAUCAGCUUCCAGCACUUACAUCGUCUCACUUGCCUUAAAUUGUGGUACAACCACAUUGCCUACAUCCCCAUGCAGAUAGGCAACCUGACCAACUUAGAACGCCUUUACCUGAACCGUAACAAGAUAGAAAAGAUCCCUACCCAGCUCUUCUAUUGCCGAAAACUUCGGUACUUGGAUCUCAGCCACAACAACUUAACUUUCAUACCACCAGACGUUGGACUUCUUCAAAACCUGCAGAAUCUGGCUGUGACAGCCAACAGGAUUGAGAGUCUCCCACCAGAGCUAUUCCAGUGCAGGAAGCUGAGAACCUUGAACCUGGGAAACAACGUGCUACAGUCACUGCCCUCCCGGGUGGGAGAGCUGAUGAAUCUGUCACAGAUAGAGCUGCGAGGGAACCGCCUGGAGUGCUUGCCUGUGGAGCUGGGAGAGUGCCCACUGCUGAAACGCAGUGGGCUCGUGGUGGAGGAGGACCUGUUCAACACCCUGCCCUUGGAAGUCAAAGAGCGCCUGUGGAGGGCAGACAAAGAGCAAGCUUGAACACCUGAGAAGAGGGAAGAGCCUCUGAUCAACCAGAAGGAAGCAAAAGGCCAUUUCAGUCCCCUUUCACCCAGAUGCUCCCCUUUCUCCACUCCAAUCACUAUCAAAACUGGCCAAGGAGUCCUUGACAAACAUGACUCUGAAUGAGUCAGCUUCUUGCCUCAGAUGCUGGAUGGGGGAGGCUUGGGAUCAGGAUGAGGAUCAAGACAGAUUAAUUGGCCUCUGAGCAGGGCCCAGGGGGCAUUAGAGGUGUUGCUCUUCUUCUGGACAGGAAUUGGGGUGAGGUGGAUGGUGCUGGUGAGAAGUGACCUUUGAAUGGAGGAGAAAACGAAUGUGGGGAUUGCUGCAUUGCUCCUAAUAGAGCUUAUAUGUGUCAGGGACCAAAGGAGUCCAGUGUCCUGCAGGCAAAGAUCGAGAAUCAAGGAAACCUCUUGAACCUCCAUCUCUGUGACAGCUGGUACUGCUGCCCUCUGACUCAGUCAGUGAGGCCCCAGGUUGGGGUGGGACACAGACAGCUGAUUUUGUCUAGAUGCUGGCAUUAGGAUUUGGGAGAAAAACAUCUCGCAGCUGCUUGAAGGCGGAAUUUUCUUUUUUUUUUACUGAUUUUCUUUCCCCUUUGCACACUCCCCAUCUUCUCUGCCCCUGGAGAAGGAACCAAACUAUCUGCUCCUUUAAGAUUGCACUACUGUAAUGAUUUCAAGUCACUUGUGCGGAGUAUCAGUCUUGUAUGAUGAGAUGGAAAAAGCUCUAAAACUUCUGAGGAUAGGAUCUAGACCAUGAGUCCUGAACAUGUUUAUGACUGAGGACUGCUGCAAAACUCAACCCACAGCAGAGCGAGUCACUUCCCAAACUUUUCUGGAUUGCUCAUUCUGUGAGAGGUGUCCUUACAUCAACAAUCCAUCCUCACUUGCAAGUAUUUGAUCUGUGAAUAUUCUAUAUUGUCCUUCAAGUUUCCAUCAGGCUGAAGCUUAGGGAGCUUAUUUCUGACACAGAUCUGUGCAUUCACAAAAAGCAUUCAGUUUAAGCAGACAAUCACUGCCCUGGUCAGUGUCUUGUUCUCCUGACAAGCUUUUUAAAACAGUAGCAAACCAGAUUAUUUAUUAGCUGCUAAACCAUACAGCAACUUGAAUUAAACCCACCUGUUUCCUUUAAUAGCACUUCUGAGCAGAACAAGUUCUUGGAGAACACAAGGAUGCUCAUCCCAUGUUAGGAUUGAAGGUUAGUGAUAUGCACUUUACCUUUCCUGCUAAAGACCCCAAAAAGUGAUAAGUUGCAAUUAGUUAUUUUGAAUCAGCUGAAAGGCAAGGAAUACCAAACCUAUUAAAUGUGUAAAAUUGUGCUGUACUCUGACACUAUUCACUGGAAUGUUAGCUUAAGUUGUUCUGUUUCAGAUCACUUUCUGAUUUUAUUAUUUGAUCCACAGUUAAUUCAGCAGCUGGAAGUAAUUUACUCUGUCAGUCUGAGUGGUUAAAUAGCUGUUACAGGUAUCUUUCAUGAUGUGCUGUUCUUUCAUAUUAAUUGUCACUUCUUUUUAAUAUCCUACCUCAUUUUUUAUUUUUUCUUAUUCCUGUUUAUGCACUCCAUUUAGCUCACUCCAUUUUAAUUAAAGUUCUUGGUGUUCAUUACUGUAAAUAGUAUUGAGUGGCUUUCUGUUGCUGAAACACAUGAAGUCCUCUUUUUUUUUUCCUUUUUUUUUGUCCUCUCUUUAACAAUUGAUUCUAGGAAUUUUGAGAACAAUAACACAUCCUUUACAGAGGAUGAGUUGUCUGGAAAAAAGUUGCAAAUUGUAUUGAUGCCUAGGCUGUGACAUUGUUUCCUUUCCUUACCUCUUUUCCUGCUUUAGAAUGGAACUCGCAUGGUUUGAGUUCUUUGGAUUUUUAAACUUUUUUUUAGUCCUCUUUCAAGGGAGGAGUAACUUUUUUUCCCCUCAUCAAUAGCUGUGCCUUCUCUAGAGAUCUGUUAAUGUAAUAUCUCCCCAGAGGCACUUGCUCCCUGGAGUGUAUUUGUAGCAGUGCCUGCCUGAAGCCAACUCAUCCCUUGGAUUCUUUUUCUUUCAACCAUGGAGAGAUUUCCUAACUUCUGGGGUGACUUCUCACUGCCAGACAACAUUGUCAUACUGUAAGCAGAGUCACCUGCUCUGAAAGUCACCUAAGGUAAGGCUGUGGGGAUGCUGAGCAGUAAAAUUAUUGCUUAAACUUAACUUUAAAAAUUUUUCUUCCAUUUUAGCCCCACUGUUUGGUUACAGUGGAUAAUGUACUUUUCCCAAGCAAGUGCCAAAACAGUGAGUUUUCUGUCCUACCUCAUUCUAAUAGUGUACAAAGCACAACUGUAAUGGGGCAGGAUUAUUAAAGUUUUAUUAGGAUUAUUAAAGUUUGAUUCAGACCCUUCUCCCUUCAGCUGUGGCAGUUGGUUAAUAUUCAGCUGCUUUGGGAGAAUGAAAUCCUCCAGGAAUCUCAUAUCCAAAAUCUGGUUUCAGAAGUAGCAGCACUUGAAUUGCUAGACCCCAGUGGUAAAGGUCAACUUUGUGUGAGUUCACACAAAGGCUUAAUUUAGGAUUCCUGGAAUUUUCCAUUCCUUCCUCUCUCUGUUUCCCUUAAAAGAAUUUUAUUGGACAAUGGAAGAGUUUUUCUGGAGGAGGUUUAAUGAGAAGGGGGCUACUGAGCCUGAGUCAUCUUUACAGCUGACAAAUGUGUCCAUUUCAAUAAGUCACUACUCAUGGCUUAAACAUGGUUCACUCCCAUUGUGUAAAUGCACAAGCAGGACUGUGGUUUGGCAUCUGGGACCUGCAACUUGGUGUAACAUUUCAGAAUCAUGACAUUCACUUUGUACAUGGGAUUGUUUGGGCAGCUGAGCAACAGCACCUUCCCUGUGAGCACUGAAGGCUGCUCUUGUUUGCUCUGAAAGAUUUGUACGACUGGACACUUCACCAGAAUAAAAGUUUUCAUUUGCAUUUUC